rnacentral:rRNA from 2 species
AUACAUGCAAGUCGAACGAACUCUGGUAUUGAUUGGUGCUUGCAUCAUGAUUUACAUUUGAGUGAGUGGCGAACUGGUGAGUAACACGUGGGAAACCUGCCCAGAAGCGGGGGAUAACACCUGGAAACAGAUGCUAAUACCGCAUAACAACUUGGACCGCAUGGUCCGAGUUUGAAAGAUGGCUUCGGCUAUCACUUUUGGAUGGUCCCGCGGCGUAUUAGCUAGAUGGUGAGGUAACGGCUCACCAUGGCAAUGAUACGUAGCCGACCUGAGAGGGUAAUCGGCCACAUUGGGACUGAGACACGGCCCAAACUCCUACGGGAGGCAGCAGUAGGGAAUCUUCCACAAUGGACGAAAGUCUGAUGGAGCAACGCCGCGUGAGUGAAGAAGGGUUUCGGCUCGUAAAACUCUGUUGUUAAAGAAGAACAUAUCUGAGAGUAACUGUUCAGGUAUUGACGGUAUUUAACCAGAAAGCCACGGCUAACUACGUGCCAGCAGCCGCGGUAAUACGUAGGUGGCAAGCGUUGUCCGGAUUUAUUGGGCGUAAAGCGAGCGCAGGCGGUUUUUUAAGUCUGAUGUGAAAGCCUUCGGCUCAACCGAAGAAGUGCAUCGGAAACUGGGAAACUUGAGUGCAGAAGAGGACAGUGGAACUCCAUGUGUAGCGGUGAAAUGCGUAGAUAUAUGGAAGAACACCAGUGGCGAAGGCGGCUGUCUGGUCUGUAACUGACGCUGAGGCUCGAAAGUAUGGGUAGCAAACAGGAUUAGAUACCCUGGUAGUCCAUACCGUAAACGAUGAAUGCUAAGUGUUGGAGGGUUUCCGCCCUUCAGUGCUGCAGCUAACGCAUUAAGCAUUCCGCCUGGGGAGUACGGCCGCAAGGCUGAAACUCAAAGGAAUUGACGGGGGCCCGCACAAGCGGUGGAGCAUGUGGUUUAAUUCGAAGCUACGCGAAGAACCUUACCAGGUCUUGACAUACUAUGCAAAUCUAAGAGAUUAGACGUUCCCUUCGGGGACAUGGAUACAGGUGGUGCAUGGUUGUCGUCAGCUCGUGUCGUGAGAUGUUGGGUUAAGUCCCGCAACGAGCGCAACCCUUAUUAUCAGUUGCCAGCAUUAAGUUGGGCACUCUGGUGAGACUGCCGGUGACAAACCGGAGGAAGGUGGGGAUGACGUCAAAUCAUCAUGCCCCUUAUGACCUGGGCUACACACGUGCUACAAUGGAUGGUACAACGAGUUGCGAACUCGCGAGAGUAAGCUAAUCUCUUAAAGCCAUUCUCAGUUCGGAUUGUAGGCUGCAACUCGCCUACAUGAAGUCGGAAUCGCUAGUAAUCGCGGAUCAGCAUGCCGCGGUGAAUACGUUCCCGGGCCUUGUACACACCGCCCGUCACACCAUGAGAGUUUGUAACACCCAAAGUCGGUGGGGUAACCUUUUAGGAACCAGCCGCCUAAGGUGGGACAGA